rnacentral:lncRNA from 1 species
AGAAGGGAAGAUAGUGGGUCUCUAUUUCUCAUUGUUUUCGCGCGGUGCGUGCGUAGAAUUUACUCCGAAACUUGUGGAGGCUCAUGAGAAGCUCAAAGCAAAUGGAGAGAACUUCGAGAUUGUUUUGGUGCCACUUGAUGAUGAUGAAGAAUCAUUCAAGCAAUAUUUUGAGAAAAUGCCUUGGUUUUCUUUACCCAUUGGGGACAAAAGUGUAAAGAAGUUGGCUCGGUACUUUGAGCACUCAACUUUGCCCACAGUGGUUAUUAUUGGGGCAGAUGGUAAAACACUUAGUGAGAACGUUGCUGAUGCCAUUGACGAGCAUGGGAGUCUGGCUUACCCCUUCACACCAGAGAAGUUUGCAGAGCUCGUUGAGAUAGAAAAGGCAAAGGAGAAAGCUCAAACCCUGGAGUCAAUUUUGAUUUCCGGGGAUCGAAAUUUUGUCAUUGGAAAAGAUGGAACUCAGGUAAGAUAUAGGUUCCCGUUUUAUGGUUUAUAGUGUGAUUCUUUUGUGUAAUGUGAGGACAAAUGCCCAAAGAUGGCUUCUUUUGGGCAUGUAACUUGUAUGUGCGUGUGCAUUUGUGUGUUUUCUGUGGCAAUAAGUGAAUAACAACUGUUAUUUCUGCAUUCAGAUCCCUGUGACAGAUCUAGUGGGGAAGAACAUUCUCCUGUACUUCUCAGCUCACCGCUCCCGUGCAUGCCGUGCCUUUCUGCCAAAACUUGUUGAAGCCUACCACGAGAUUAAGGCCAAGGACGAUGCAUUUGAAGUCAUUUUCAUCUCCAGUGACAAAGGCCAAAACGCAUUUGAUAAGGUUUUCGCCACAAUGCCAUGGCUUGCUCUUCCCUUUGGUGACUCAAGGAAAGCGUUCUUGAUAAGCAAAUUCAAGGUCCUGUUCAUCCCCAAGCUCAUAGCAAUCGGUCCUACCGGCCAAACCGUCACAAAAGAAGCAAGAAAUCUCAUCAAGGAUCAUGGGGCAAAUGCUUAUCCUUUCACCGAAGAGCGAAUGAAGGAGAUUAAAGCGGAAUUUGAGAUGGCAAGGGGGUGGCCUGAGAAGUUGAAGAGUGCACUUCAUGAGAAGCACGAGCUUGUGCUCUCGAAGCGUACAGCUUUUGUGUGUGAUGGGUGCGGAAACCGGGAGUGGUGUGGUCAUUCUACUGUAAGGAGUGUGAUUUCAAUCUCCACCCGAAGUGCGCGCUGGAGGGAGACAAAAAGAUCGAAAAUGGUGCCAAGCAGGCAGAGGAAGAAGAGUGUAGACGUAAAUUUAUUCCUCCUCCUUCUUGGUUAAAAUUACACCGACAAAACAAUUAACACCUUAGAAUCAAGGUCAAGGUCAAGUGCCUCACGCGCCCACGAUGAAUGGAGGGCUUUGGUCGAAGAAUCUCCGAUACUAAAGUUAGAAUUUAGAGAAAAAAAAUGUUUAAAGAGUUUUUGGAAUUUUGUAAGUGUGUGGUGCCAAGCAGGAAGAAGAGGAAUCCAAAGAAGGAUGGGUUUGUGAUGGUGGUGUUUGUACAGAAGCUUAAGAAGUGUGUAUCAUGUAUGUGUAAUGUGUGUGUGAUAAUAAGGCUUGAAACUGCAUCUAGCAAGUAGUGACUUGUUAUGUUGCUGUCGUUUUAGAUUGUGUAAUAUUAUAAUUAUUAUUAUAAGAUGAGUGUGACAAAUUAAGAACUUUAUGAUAAUUAUUUUGCUUUUUGUACUUUUUUUGGAAGAGGAUCCUCUCUUGAUCUCAGGAUGGGGAUCCUCCUAAUCACGAAAUCCAGACCGUUCAAAUUUAAUUCAACGGUUCCAAACAGAUGAAUUUUUUAAAAGUUAUAAUAAUUGUAACUAUUAAAUUAAAUUUGAACGGUCUAGAUUUCGUGAUUAGGAGGAUUUUCAUCCUGAGCUCAGGAGAUGAUCCUCUUCUCUUUUUUAUGAAUUAGUUAUCACAAAAAUAUGCAAAGUGCUACUUAAAUAUUUAUUGUUACUUUUUACAUAUCCUGUUAAUUUUUAAUCAUGAAUAACGCUGCUCCUAUCAUUUCUCUCUCACCUUUUGUCUUUCGGUCAUAAAUUCCACAAAUGAGCUCCUCUCAUCUCCAUCAAAACCAUAAACAGAAAACACUAGGGAUAAGGAGGUUUGACCCAAACUCAUCUCCCCUCUCUUUACUCUUAUUUUCAUGCCACUAAUCCGCGACAAAAAGGAUAUCCAAGAGAGAGACAAAAGCGAUUGGGUGAAAGAGGAAGAAAACCGCUUAAGGGCUCGUUUGAAAGUACUUAUAAAUGAUUAAAAGUACUUUUAGAGAUUAUUUUUUAAAUCAAUUAUUGGUAAAACGUAAGUUAAUAAUGAAAAAGUACUAGAAAUGCUUUCUGUAAGAAGCAUACAACUGGUGCUUUGGAAUUCAAAUAACAUUUUCUCUAAAAAUGUUUUUAAUCAUUUAAAAAUAUUUUCCAAACGAGUUCAAAUUCUUUGUGGAUGGUACUUCAAUAGCCACUAGUGAAUACUUUGUACUCACUUUCUAAUUUAAUUCAAUUAGAAAAUAUCAAGCGUUCUUUAUUUUUUAAAAUCUAAAAAAAAUUAAUAACAUGUUCAUUGUUUGUUUGUUUUUUGUUAAACUAUAUAUUUUAUUAGAUUAGAUAUUAAAUUAGUCAUCGACGGGGUUUAAACCCAUGCUAAUGUAAUGGCUGAACACAUUUUCACCACUGUGAUAAAUGACCACUUGCAACAUGUGUCAUUAUUUUUUAAAAUAAUAAAAUGUGUUAAAUAUUAUUGGACAAAAUCAAAAGAUGAGUACUAGUAAGUAUUCAAUUAUUAUCCUUUUGUUGAUGCUACACUACAUAUGAAUUAGGGGGUGAGUUUAAAAAACCGAAAAGCAAAAAAAAUCGAAUCGAACACUGAAUUGAAACCGAAUUAAAAAAACGAACUGAACCGAACCAAACCGAACCAAAUUAAAUACAUAUUAAUUUUAUUUAUUUAUUUUGGAUGUUUAUUUUGAAAGUGCAAUUUUAAAUAAAUUGUUCACCUAAUUUUAAGCCCAAAUAUGUUGAAAGCCCAAUUUUUCCUCUUUGUUUCCUCCUUUUUUAUUCUCUCAAGUGCUAUUGAAAACUCGUCCAAGGUUUGAAGCCAAACCAUAGAGCACAUAGAGCGUGGUGGAGGCAGGCAAGGAAGGCUUGCUGUUUCUGGUUUUGAGACGAGAAAAGAGAAAUACAACAAAAGCUACCCCAACUUUCAACAAAAGGGGCUUAGAGCUGGUUUAGUAUUGCUGUGCUUUGAAGAAAAAAAAAACUACUUCUGAUGUGCUGUGAGAAUAAGCAGUUGUGAAAUAAAGCAGCAAAGUGUUUGGUAAAUUUUUUUGUAAAAGUGAUUUUGGGAAAAAAAAAGAAAAAAAAAAGCAGUAUUAUAGUAUUUGGUAAACUUUUAUGUAAAACUGUUGUGAUUGUGUAAAAUGACCAAAAAGAGUUUGGUCUUAUUUAGUGUGCCUUGAAGGGCCCACUUCUUUUAUUUGGUCUUCCUCUUCUUCUCUCUUUCUUCCAUUUUUCCCGUGAGACUCUCCUUUCUCUCUAACUCUCUUUCUCUAUGAUACUCUCACUCUCUCUAUUUACUGAGAGAAUCACCCACUCCAACACCAAUUUUCGAGUGAAAUCCAUACCAAUAUUCCCUGUUUUAGGUGUAGUUUGACCUAUGGAUUCGAACGGUGGCGUUGCCUGUGAAGAUCAAGUACUCAAAAAUGAAGAAAGCCAACAUUUCCCUCUCGGUGAAAAACUCUUAGACGAGUUGACCUGAGGCUCGACAAAAUUAGGGUGCUUCAAACUUAAUUCAACCUUCAUUUAAUCUCAGGUACAACUUCUGUAUCAUGUAUAUCGAAUUUUGGCAUGAAAUUCUUGGGAUUUAACCCCAAAUGCCAUCUUUGUGUUCAUGCCCAUAAAUCUGGUGACCUUCUUGGUCAUUUUUCCAGUGAACUCGAGCCUGAAUCUAUACCAAUUGCCAAAUCUCAACUCUGGGUAACUCUGAAUCUACACUGAGCUGGAGAAACUUAGAGAACGAGAGAGAUUGCUGGGAGAACGAGAGAGAUCGCUGCUGGGAGAAUGAAAGAGAUCUGGGAUUGAAGUUUUCUGGUUCGGGUUUUGCGAGAGCUGAAAGUGUGAGGAAAUGAGGGCAAUUUUGGGUUAUUGAAAAAUUCAUUAAAGAUUACUGUUCAACCGUGUUAUUGAAAAAUUCAAUGUUUUGUGGGACGAGUUAACGUUAUACUUACUACAUAUUUGUAUUAUCUCUUUAAUAGAGGUAGGACUCGCAAACACAUGUAGAUCUUAUCUCUAUAAUAGAUAGUACAAAUAAUGAUACAAAUAUGUAAUAAAAGUAACAUUUUUGUUCGUGCGACUGGACUUAGCAUUAACAUGAACAUGGAGACAUGCAUUUUGUUUGUUGGCCAUAUUUUACCUGUCCAAAAUCCAUGCGGGUAGUGUUGGUGGAAAAGGAAUGUCUUUACAUCCAACACUUACUAAGUUCUAACAACUAUAAUAAGCCCUGGUAUGGUUUGAAUGUCAAAAAAUCAACUCAAACGUGUGACUCUAGUUAAUCUUAAUUUCAAUGGGCGCUGGCUAGUCAAAAAGUGUGUUUAUCCAAACACUCAAGGUUAAAGUGGGACCAUAUAUAGAAACAACUCAAUUACAUGAUUCAUUAAGUUACUUCUUUUUUGUAUUUAGUUUUAAUUUAGCUUAAGUACAAUAAAAAAUGCACAUAACCUCAUUCUUUAUGAGAGUGUCUAAUCAAUGAUGUAAGUCACGUAUCAAUUUUUUUUUAAUCCUUCAAUAAGAAGAUGAGAAACUGUAAUUUAGUAGGUGAAACCAACAAAAUCAUGACUGUGGAUGCAAGUUUCUUUCUCCUUGAUCUUGUACAAGAUUGCACCUACAAAACAAUUUACACCUUAGGUCAAGGCCAAGAGCCUCACGCGCCCACGAUGAAUGGGGGAGGCUUUGGCCGAAGAACCUCCGAUGCCAAAGUUAGAAUUUAGAGAGAAAGUGUUUGAGAAUUUUGGAGAGUUUUAGCAAGUGAAUGAGAAGUCUCUUUGGGAGAAUAGAAUAGGGCUUUUAUAGGGGAGUGUGGCCUUGGUGAUUCAAUUUAGCAAUUAAUAUAUUAAUUAGGUGUAAAUAUAUUAAUUGGCUAAUUAUCAUAAUAAAAGAAAUGUUUUUGGAGGUUUUGGGAGGUUAUGGAAUGAGGAUGGAUGAGACAAAAUUGAACUUGUUACCUAUUUUGGGUACUCCUAAUUUGGUUGAUGGAUGAUUCUCCACUGCUCGCAUGUAGGAAACUCGAUAUGCCUUAAGGGUAAAUUUAUCAUCUUCACCCAAAAAUCUACAUGUCGCCUUAUGAUUAUUAUUGGCUCCACAAAUGCCCACACACCUGUUGGGCUGCUCGUAGGAAAUGGCAGCAGGUGUAGAGAUCUUCUUGCUCUAGGAAACUUAGGACUGCUUCCUGUUUUGAUGUAGAUUCCCUCUUUAAUAUGAAAUUAGAUACUUCUAACAAAGGGAAAUAAAUUUCUUUCAAAGCCUAUUUAAGUCCACCUUAAGUGGGUUGUUAAAUCAACUUUGGAGAGCGAUUAUUAUACCCUACAAGAGAAAGAGCUUAGAGGAUAUUUGUUCCUCCUCCUCUAGCAACCUUCUACAUCUUGCCCAUGCAAAUGACCGUCUUUCGUUGUUUUCUUCGUCUUUCCCGCGUCGCACCGAUGUAAGGAAAACUUAAUUCUCAUUGUCUUUUUCUUAGGAGGUGUUGCCACGGGGCAGGCGUCGGGGUGGUGCAGCACGUCGGCUAGCAGGGGCCAGGAGUUGGCUUGUCAUGGGCCAAUGAGGUGGUGUGGCAAGGGCCAUUGCUUGUGCUGCUCGGCUUGAUUGAAGCCAAGGAUUAGCUCAACAUGGGCCGAGGAAGUGGCAUGACAUGGGCAACAGUUUAGGCUACUUGCCAAAAUGAGGAAACUGCUUGAGUUUAAUUUCUCAAUUGCCGUAGAUGGAGCAAUCAAGGAUAAAACUACCAAGAUCGGAGCUGCUGAAGAUGAAGUGUCAGAUGAGUGAACUGUUAAAUGCAAAAGUGGUUGCUGCCCCUGACCAUUUGUUGCCUAGUUGAUCUUCAAGCAUUCGAUCUUUUAAACUAUGUGGCAUUCUCGCACUGGAUAGCUUACCCAGAUAGGAGUCGGGGAAUUAGUUUACCCUCUCACACUAGAUAACAAUUAGUUUACCCUCUCACACUGGAGAGCAAUUAGUUUACCCUUUCGCACUUGAGAGCAAUUAGUUUACCCUCUCGCGCUGAAGAGCAAUUAGUUUAUCCUCUCGCACUGGAGAGUAGACCCUUUUAGGUGUCGGGGAAUUGGUUUACCCUAUCGCACUGGUGAGCAAUUAGUUUAUCAUCUCACACUGGAGAGCAUGGAAGUCGUUGUCGUAAGUGCAGUUGAGGAAAGCUGGACUAUUGGACAACUGAAAUAAUCCUCAUGCUGCGAGGUCUUGUUUGGUGAACUGCUUGUGGAACCCACGUAAUGGUGUAAGUGCAAUGAGCUGCUCUCUGAAUUAUUGUACCAUCAUUAGGUGCUUCAUCUUGUGCCAUUUUGAGGCUUGGUUGGUGCGAGAAAUUGCGCAAUUGCUUGGUCAUGAGCCUUUCUACUUCUUCCUGAAUUUUCCUUUGUUGAGGUGGCAAAGCUCUCGACUACCCCUGAUCAUGAUGUGCUGAUCUAAGCUAUUCUUCCAUAUGUUCGGCUCGUCUAUGCCACGACUGCGGUGGGUGUGGUAUGUUCCUAGCAGGCGAGCGUGUAACUCACAGGCUGCUGGUUAAACUUGAGCCGGAUUGAGUGACAUGUUCUUUCCUUUUGCUGUGCUGCCUGCUUCGAUGUGAUGUGAAAAAUACUCCUUGCGGGUCUAGCCGUGAAUGAAUACUUCGCUUGGAAGGUUGUCCAUAUUGAAAAUCGGAGUGUGACUUCAACUGUGAUCGUAUGCUCGUCCAUGGGCUUGAUUAGGAAUGCACGCUUAUCCUCACACUAAGACAAGAGUAUACGCUAUCCCAAUGAUCCAAGUAGGAGCAUAAACUGCCAUAAUGUAAGGAUCAUGGCUGGUUGAUGAGCUACUUUCCAGGACGCUGGUGGAGAGGUUCAUAUGCCCUUGUUUUACUUCGGGACACCUCUUUCGAGACACGUUGGAUCUUGAUGCAUUGCAAGAGUUGAUUCACCAAGGUUGUCUGUUGUGCAAGGAUGCUCGUUAACUCUAUGACUUGUCAAGACAAGUGUUGUUCACCAUUUAGAUUAGAAGAGCUUGGAAAAAAUGUGCCUUAUUGAGCAGUGGAAGUGUGGUAGGCUCCGAGCGCGAGAUUUGAGUUGGGAAAUGUCAAAUCCACGAAGAAAAUGUGGUGAAAAUACCCCCGGCUUGAUGGUAGGUCCGGAUGGUUGAGAUAGUCUUGGGCCGACUUGGGCUGCUUGGGAGGCCAUGAAGGCAGGUUGGGUUACGGGAGUAAGCGGGCCACAUGAGUGGGUUACCCGACGGGAGCAGGCUGGGUCACGGGAGUAGGCUGGGCCACGGGAGUGGGCUGCUCGGCGGAAGCAAGCUGGGUUGCAAAGCAGGUUGGGUCGUGGGAGCAGGCUGGGCUACGGGAGUGAGAUGCCCAGCGGGAGUAGGCUGGGCCACGGGAGUGGGCUGCUCGGCGAGAGUAGGCUGGACCGUGGGAGUAGGCUAGGCCGCAGAAGCAUGCUAGAUCAUGGGAGCAGGUUGGGUCGCGGGAACAGGCUGCUCAAUGCGUGGUGCAUGCGGAUGCGAGGCUUAGGCUCGGGCCCGUGCAAGCUUGGAUGGCAUGGCUUGGGCCAUGGUGGAACCUUGUAGUGGUGGUGCCACUCUGCUUACGCCUGCAUUUUGCCUCAUGGAUCUCCGUGAUCCCAUUUCUUUAGUAUUGGAAUUUUCUAAAUUUCUAGCCAUUAUAUUUUUCUUAUACGUUUUAUCAAAGAACCUUUGCAAAUAAAAAAUUCUAAUAAUAAGAAUGUAUGAAAAAUAUUCAAAUGGACUAGAAAAUAGAGAAAAACCUUAUGCAAGAGUCUUCUACGAGUAUGGAUUUCAACUUUCAAUGAAAGCACCAAUAUGGAUGCAAAUUUCUUCCUUCUUGAUCUUGGACAAGAUUGCACCUACAAAACAAUUUACACCUUAGGUCAAGGCCAAGAGCCUCACGCGUCCACGAUGAAUGGGGAGGGCUUUGGCCGAAGAACCUCUAAUGCUAAAGUUAGAAUUUAGAGAGAAAGUGUUUGAGAAUUUUGGAGAAUUUUAGCAAGUGAAUGAGAAGUCUCUUUUGGAGAAGAGAAUAUGGCUUUUCUAGGGGAGUGUGGCCUUGGUGAUUCAAUUUAGCAAUUAAUAUAUUAAUUACAUGUAAAUAUAUUAAUUUUCUUAUUAUCAUAAUAAAAGAAAUGUUUUGGGAGGUUUUGGGAGGUUAUGGAAUGAGGAUGGAUGAGACAAAUUUGAACUUGUUACUUAUUUUGGGUACUCUUAAUUUGGUCGAUGGAUGAUUCUCCACUGCUCGUGUAAUACCCUGAAAAAUGUAAAUAUAGGAAUUUGGCAUUCAUAAUUAUGAUUAUGUAAAAAGAAUUGGGAAUUUAUAUUAAUUCAUAAAAUUUUAGUUUUAUAGUAAACUAGUUACGAGGUUUAAAGUUUAGAUAUUAAUUUUUGAAAAUCUGUAGACCUUUCAAGGUCAAAAUUUAUGUUUUUGAAUAAAGCCCGAUCUCACAAACGCGUAGGCGCAAACGGAACGCAAUUUGGAGAUAUAACGAAGAAGUUAUUAACGCUUAAAGUCGAGGGUACAAUUGUAAAUUUAUCCUUUAUGGAAUGCUCCAGAUUUUUGGAGCCAAAUCUGGAAGGCCACGUGUGUGGCCCAGAUUAAAAGUAAGAAAAGUUAGGCGGUAGAGAUGGAAGAUAAAGGAGGGAAAGGAGGGAGAGAGGAGCCAAUCAGGAAAGAGGGAGAUGAGAGAGUGACCAAUGAGAGAAGAGAGAAAGGAGGGGAAAGGAGAGGAAGGAAGUGCACCGGAACCUUCGACCCGGUUCUAUGUCAUCAACCCGACCCGGCUUCCUCCACCUCCUCCGGUGGCUUUUCGUCAGUUUUUCCGACGAAUUAUGCUACCAAACCAUCUUAAAAAGGUUUCAUGACCUCCCCUUGACUGAUUCUAUCACAAAUCAGAUAGAUAUUGGCCCUGAAUCUGUGCAAAACCCCACGGGGGGUGCACAAGUUCAUAGGUGGCGAUCCACCAAAUCUGAAGCAAACUCUCCCAAUUUCCACCACCCACAUGUUCCUUAAGAACCUAGGAAUAAAGCCCAAACAAGGUUUGGGGCGUCGGAGCUGCUAUGGAGUCAAAUCAAGAACACCCAUUUCUAGGGUUCCCGGCGUAUUCGAGGUAAAUUGGAGCAUUUCCGGGAUAAAUUUCCCUUGGUCACAUGUAUGAAAGUUACUCUACGUAUUGAGAUCUUCAUUCCUGUAAUUUUUGGUAAUUUUUAGACAUAGUUGAGUUUCCGGCGAGUCGGGGUGGCAGACUGCCACUCGCAGCGGCGGGUGCGGCGGCGCACGGCUAGGAAGUCAACAAUUGCUCUUUAUGCGAAUUUCGUUAUUCAAAUUAUGUCUUUAAGAUCAAAAUUGUUGUGGUUUGAAUAUUAUUACGAUUUUGGUAUAUGUUGGAUUAGCUAAAUAUAUUCAUAUUUUGUUUAAUUUUGGAAUAUGUGAACUACGAAAUGCUUGAUCUCGCUCCAGGGUACGUAGGCAGUCUAACAGUGUUAGAUGCAGCCUUAAAUAACUCGAGAAAUAAUUCUUAGAAUGAGAAGUGUGUUAUAAAAGGAAAUAGAAACAAGAUGAGAAUAAAUUUGUACGUUGAUGUUUAAAUCUUUUUAAUUAUGAAUCAAGGUCGGAAACAAGACAUAGAAUUAAAGGAAGGAAUUUAGUAAAUAAUUUGAGUUUUACUUUCUUAGUCGGUUUUGAAUUUAAGGUAAGGAUUAGUGGAUUGAAUAUGGUAGAAAAUAAACAAUUAAUGGUAAACAACUAAACAUGAUUUUUUUAGGUUGGGUCUAUCAAAAAUAAUAACAUUAUUUCCCGAAUUAAAGAAUUUAUUCGAGACGGGGUGUUACAGCUUGCGUGUAGGAAACCCGGUAUGCCUCAAGGGUAAAUUUGUCAUUUUCACCCAAAAAUUCACGUGUCACCUUGUGAUUAUUUUUGGCUCCACAAUGACCAAAACAUGUUCUUAAACUAGAAAGCCCAAAACGAAAGCACAAACUACUUUAAAACCAAAAUCAAAACAACAUAAUUCACCGAAACAAAUCAUAGCUCGGCAACCCAAUUUAAUUAAAAUAAACUUCAUCAAGCAAUUAAGUACUAAUUCAGCAUAUCAGCUUGAUUGGGCUCAAUUCUUCAAAUUAACUAAAAUGCCAAAGAAAUUUGAUCAUAAUCAUCUCCUCAUCCUUCUUUAUCUUCUCUCACGCUCAUUAGGUAAAAUUCAUAUUCAUUCUCUUUUGUCUAUUAUUUUCGUUGAUGCUAUUCAGGAAGGUAAGAAACGAAUUGAGAUAUCGAGUGUAAAGAGAAAAUACUCUUAGUAAACUGAGUUAUAAACGUCAAUCUAAUUUUGAUACAAAUAUAUAUAUUGCAUGAAUUUAUGCAUGGCAAGGUAUGCAUUAAAUAACUAAAUUAAGUUUCAAUAAACUGAUUUUGUAAUUACAUUUGUAGGUUCAUAUAGAAAUUAUGGCUUUAAUUUGUAAUGUAUUUCAUGAGUUUAAUGUACAAAGGGUCCAGAUAUAUAUGAGAAGAAAGAGGGGGAAGAAAGAGAGAUAAGAUGGCUGCUGCAAGCAUCCAACAGAAAAGAGAAGACAAUGACUGAAAAAGGAAGACAAAUUAGACAAGCUAGCCUAAUCUACACCUUACAAAAAACAACUUGCACUAAUCAAUCACAUCCCUUAAAUCAAGGAAAGAAGACUAAUUACUCUAGUGCCUAGAGCUAUCCUUAGAGAACAUGGUAGCUGACUCAAGAGGCCAAAAUACACUUCAACACUCCCCCUCAAGCUGGAUCGAAGAGGUUAACUUAGCCAAGCUUGCCUAAUAAUCGAUGGAACUGAGUGCAUGCCAAUGCCUUUGUAAAGAGAUCUGCCAAUUGAUCGUGGCUUCGUGUGAACAUGGUCCAGAUGAUUGAGUUUGAACUUGAGCUCUGAUGAAAUGACAAUCCACUUCAAUAUGUUUGGUUCUUUCAUGGAACAUAGGGUUGGCAGCAAUAUGUAUGGCUGCCUGAUUAUCACACAUAUGUGACAUAUGAGUAUAACUAGAAAACCCUAAGUCUGAAAAAAGCCCUUUAAACCAAAUAAGUUCACAAGUAGUGGCUGCCAUGGCUCGAUACUCAGCCUCUGCGCUGGAACGAGCAAUUACCUGUUGCUUCUUGCUCUUCCAUGUGACAAGGUUUCCACCAACAAAUGUACAAUAGCCUGUGGUUGAUUUCCUAUCAAUUGCAUUACCUGCCCAGUCUGCAUCUGUGUAGCCACUAAUGACAGUGGAUUGAUUGUUGUGCAUUGUAAUUCGUUGCCCUAUUGAACCCUUGAGAUAACGAAUGAUUCUUUUAACAAUGUUAAGGUGAUCAAUAAUGGGAGAGUGCAUAAACUGACUAGCCAAGCUCACUGCAUAAGUGAUAUCUGGACGAGUGAUGGUGAGGUAUAUGAGCUUGCCUACUAAUUGUUGAUAGUAAGUUACAUCAUGCAUGGCUUCUCCAUCUAUGCUGAGGUUCAGUUUACAAUCAACGAGAGUGAUAGCAGCCUUACAGUCAAGCAUUUUUGCUUCUUGAAGAAGGUCCAAUACAUAUUUCCGUUGAUGUAGAAACAGUCAUUUUGAAGAUGUUGCCAUUUCGAUCCCUAAAAAAUACUUUAACCUCCCCAAAUCUUUGAUAGCGAAAGUUUGAUAUAGUGAGAGUUUUAGUGCCUCAAUCUCCACGGUACUCUCUCCAGUGAUGAUAAGAUCAUCAACGUAGAUGAGGACCACCAACUUCCCACUGGUGCCAGUUCUCACAAAUAAUGAAGAAUCAACAUUACUACGCACGAAUCCAGCCUUUUCCAGAACAGAACUGAGCUUGGCAUACCAAGCUCUUGGUGAUUAUUUCAAUCCGUAUAUUGCCUUGUGCAAUUUGCAAACCAUGUUGCCUUUGAUACCAUCAUAGCCUGGAGGAGGUUGCAUAUACACUUCUUCCUGCAACUCUCUGUGAAAGAAAGCAUUCUCACGUCUAUUUGGUAGAGUGACCACUCACAAUUGAUUGCAACUGAAAGUAAAACCCUGAUCGAGUUCAUCUUGGCCAUCGAUGCAAAUGUUUCCUUAUAAUCUACUCCAAAGGUUUGGGUGAAACCUCGAGCAACAAGUCUAGCCUUGUGUCUCUCGAUAGAUCCAUCAGCUUUGAAUUUUGUUUUGUAGAUCCAACGACUUCCAACAGCCUUUUUUCCUGGUGGUAGUUGAACUAGACUCCAGGUGUGAUUCUCUUCUAGCGCACGAAACUCUUCUGUCAUGUCUUGUUUCCAUUGUGGGAGAAGAGAAGCUUCUUGAUAGCUUCUUGGUUCACAGUGCUUAUCAAUUUCACUAAGAAAUGCAGCAUGAGAUGUUGAGAACUUACUAAAGCUGAUACAUUCAGUGAUAGGAUGCCGUGAGACAUAUGUAACAUAGUCUUGCAACCUAGCUAGAGGUUUUCUGAUUCGAUGAGGGUUUCUCUUAAUCACCGGAGACUCUUUAGUGGAUUGAGAAUGAUCAGAGUAGGGCUCUUCUUCACUUUCAUUGGCAAUAAUUUGGUCAGUUUGUACCUCUUCACAAUCUGGACUCACAGUGACUGAUCUUUCUUCCAACAUCGGAUGAUUAAAGUUUUGAGGGAGUGGGAACAUGUCAACUAAAUCCUCCCCCUGACUUGUAAAAUAGGGAUAGUCUUCUUCGAUUUUCACAUCUCUUGAAACUGUGGACUUCUUAGUGACUGGAUUGAAGCACUUGUAUCCUUUUUGGGUGGCCGAGUAUCCCAUAAACACAUAUUUGGUUACCCUAGCAUCUAGUUUGUCACGGUUCAAGGUUUGGAUGUGAAUAACACAAACACAACCAAACACCUUGAGGUGUGUCAAAUAUAUUUUCCUCCCCUUGAGAACUUUAUAGGGAGAUUUAAACCCUAGCACACGACUUGGAAUUCGAUUGAUGAGAUAAGUGGCAGUAAGGAUGGAAAACGACCAAAAUUUGUUUGGAACAUGCAUGUGAAUCAUGAGAGCACGAGUCUUCUCCAAGAGAUCUCUAUUUUUCCUCUCGGCUACUCCAUUUUGUUGAGGAGUCCCUACACAGCUGGUUUGAUGUAUGAUACCCUAAGAACUUAAGUAUUGAAGCAUGUUGUUCGAUAGAAAUUCAGUGCCAUUAACUGACCUUAAAACCUUAAUGUUUGAUUGAAAUUGUGUUUUAACAUGCAUGUAAAAAUCUUUGAAAAUGGUUGGAACUUCACUCUUUGAUUUCAUAAGAUAUAGAAAACUUGUUCGAGAGAAAUCAUCAACAAAUAGAACAAAGUACUUAAACCCUUCCACUGAUUCAGUUGCAUGUCCCCAUACAUCGGUGUGAACCAUUUCAAAAGGUUUACUUGUCCUAGACAUUGAAUUACCAAAAGGUAGCCAAGUAAACUUAGAAAAUUGACAAGUAUCACAAGUAGGAUAAGGGUUACAAAAAUUUGGAAACAGUUUAGACAAGACAACUUUAAAGGGGUGAGCUAAUCUCCUAUGCCAAAGUUGGUUUUCAUCUAUGGACUUCGAUUGAGCUUGAAGAGCCUGAGUGAAACAUGCAUUCUUACACAGGUAGUAAAGUCCAUUUAUGAAGACCCAUUCACCAAUCAUCUUCAUGGUGAGAACAUCCUGAAACAUCAUAUUAUUUGGUGAGAAAAGAGCACGGCAGUUUAGAGUGUUGGUGAUCUUUCCAAUUGACAAAAGUUGGAAAGGAAAGGUUGGUACAUAGAGGGCAGUGGAAGGUAUUUUUUGAGAGAGUAAGUUUAUUUCUCCUUUUCCCAAAACUAAGACAUUUUUUCCAAUUGCAACAGACACAUGCGAGGGACUUGAAUUUUUUUUUAAAUGAUGUAAAUUUGUAACUUUGUUUGUCAUAUGAUAUGUGGUGCCUGAAUCAAUUAUCUAACAAUCAGUUUCAGUACUAGUUAAUAGGGCAGUAGUGAAGGCUUUGAGUAUACCUGAUGUUUCUUCCUUUGGAACUUUCUCAUUUCUAGCAAGAAAGUCGGCAAAUUGUCCCAACAUAGCUGUGUAACUACCCUCUUCAUUGCCUUGACCAUGUGAGCCUCAUCCGUGUCCCUUACUUUGUAGGUAAGCUACAAAUGCAUUGAUCAAUGACAAUGGAUUGGCAAUGAACUCCAUGGAUCCUUGUGAAAUAGUAGGAGGGUGAACAUUAGCAAGUUGUGCCUUGAAAUGAGGUUGAAAUUGUUGUGAGGACCUUGGUAUCAUCUUUCCAUCUUUGCUGAACUUAGGCUUAAGUUCAGGAUGAAGUUCCCAACACUUUGACUAACACCAUUGCAAUAUUUGCAUUUUAGAUGUGUGUUUUUUUCCCUUGUAUACCUUGGCUUCUAAAUUCUUGUAAUUUGAUGCAUAUGCCCGAGUCUCAAUCAAUCUGGGGCUGUGAGCAGCAUUCAUAACCUUUUUCCUUGCUUCUUCUCGUUGGAUAGUUGCACAAACAUUGUUGAAGGUAGGUAAGUCUUGACUCAUCAAGAUGUGACUGCUUAGGUCCUCAUACUCAGAGCUCAAACUCCAUAACAACUGAUAAAUUUUGUCUUCCUCGUCUCAUUUUAAGAGAAUGGUAGGAUUAUGGUAUGUGGGAGAUAUACAUCCAACUCAUUCCACAUGGCUUUGAGACUCCCAAGGUGUUGAACAAAUGCUUUCCUUUCUUGUUGAGCACUGGCAAUGUCUUUCUUUACUUGGAAGACCCGCACAUAGUUGUUUUGAUUUCCAUACAUAUCCUGCAAAGCUUUCCAAAGAUUAUGUGCGGAAUUGGAGUAGUUAAAAAUUUCAGCAAUAUGUUUCUCCAUGGUGUUGAGCAGCAAGGAUACGACAAGUUGAUCUUUGCAGAGCCAUGCAUCGUAUGUAAAGGAAGAACGGUCUGGAGCUUCCACGCUUCCAUUUACAAACCCUAACUUCCCUUUGCCUCCGAGAGCUAGUGAAACAGCUCAGGACCAAGGAAGAUAAUUAAACUCGUUUAAGAGAACUGAACAUAAACGUUGACUGGUGUUAACCUCAACGUCUGAGAAGUUUGGAGAAAGACUAUGCUGGGUUUCCUCAUCAUGAUUCACAGAACUUUCUUCAAUCAUGACUUAGACUUUGAAAGAAAAAAUUCGCAGCAACAAUAAUGGCAGAGAUAGGUUAUGAAAGAACCUUCUCUGAUACCAUAUAGAAAUUAUGACUUUAAUUUGUAAUGUAUUUCAUGAGUUUUAUGUACAAGGGGUCCAGAUAUAUAUGAGAAGAAAUAGGGGGAAGAAAGAGAGAUAAGAUGACUACUGCAAGCAUCCAACAGAAAAGAGAAGAUAAGGACUGAAAAAGAAAGACAAAUUAGACAAGCUAGCCUAAUCUACACCUUACAAAAAACAACUUGCACCAAUCAAUCACAUCUCUUAAAUCAAGGAAAGAAGACUAAUUACUCUAGUGCCUAGAGCUAUCCCUAGAGAACAUGGUAGCUGACUUUAGAGGCCAAAAUACACUUCAACACUUCAAUAGUUCAGCAGCAGCAGAACCAAUUGGAAUCUGCUACGGCCGAGUAGCCAACAAUAUCCCGCCACCCUCCAUCGUCCUCUAAAUCCUCCAAGGCAACGGAAUCUCAUCCAUCCGCCUUUUCAACACCGACCCUGCCACCCUCAGCUCUUUCUCCGCCACCCCAACAAUCCACCUCACCAUCGGCGUCCCCAAUGAACUCCUCCCCACCCUUGCCUUCUCCUCUGUCACCACCACCCCUGACUAGCUCCAAUCAAACAUCCUCGCUCACAUCCCGCAAACCAAAUCUGUUACAUCACCGUUGGCAACGAGAUUUUCCUAAAAGACCCUUACUACACUAUCCACGUUCUUCCCGCCAUUCUCAAUCUUCAUCAAGCCCUCCAAACCCUAGGCUUUGACAAUUCCAUUAAGCUCUCUUCCCUAUAAGCCGCCUCCGUUCUGUCCACCUCAUACCCUCCAUCCUCAGCCUCAUUCGACCCCUCCGUCUAACCUUUUUUUCUCCCCCUCCUCCGCUUCCUCCGGGACACGAACUCUCCCUUCAUGGUCAACUCCUACCCCUACUUUAGCUACCUACACAACAAGAACUACGUCUCUCUUGGAUACGCGUUGUUUCGAGCCACCAAUGAGGUGGUUAACGACGACGAGUUGGUGUAUAGUAAUCUUUUCGACGCGAGUAUGGAUGAUUUUGUGAGUGUGAUGGAAAGGGAGAGAGUUGUUGGAGUUCCCGUGGUGGUUUCGGAGAUGGGGUGGCCGACCGACGGAGGGGAGGCCGUUAGUGUGGAGAAUUCGAGGGCGUACAAUGCGGAGGUGGUGAGACGGGCGGUGGAAGGGGUUGGGACGCCAAGGAGGCCGGGAGUUGGAGCGGAGGUUUUCUUGUUUGAUUUGUUUGAUGAGAAUGAGAAGUAUGGGGAAGAAUUUGAGAGGCAUUUCGGGAUUUUUGGGCCUGACGGGCUCAAGGCUUAUGACCUUAAUUUCAACUAAAAUUAUGCAAUGUAAUGCACCUACAAUACCACAAUAAAAUUACAUCGCUGUAACGGGCUACUCACAACUAGAUAUCAAACUCAUCACAGAAUACAUAUUUCAUUUACGAAAGUCGAAUCUGAUACCUUAUCCAACCAAACGUAGACAACUACCAACAAACCAAAUACUAGGUAUGCCAGAUUGGGCUCUUGUCAACAAUCAAAACAGGCCAAAGCCCAUAAAGAGCACGGGUUUUAAUUUUACGCUUGACGACCCGGAAAGGUCAAUGAUUUCAUCAAGUCAAUGUUGAUGAUGUUGUGGUCCAAGUACACUCUGUUUUUUUCCAAUGUUCACACUUGAAAACUUAAGUACGAAGAUUGCAAUUAUGCCUUAAAUAAACAAGGUAUUGUGAAAUAGACAAUAUGUGUGUGGCAGAAUAUAAAGUAAAUAAGACAUAAUAUUUACGAGAUUCGGCUAGUAUGCCUACAUUAUUAGGGCAUUAGCAAUAGUUUCUCUCAUUAUUCAAUUGAAAUUACAAAGGCAAUGGAAAUAAUAUAUUGUGUAUCUUCUAUAUGAUAUAUUUGGAAGCUAAUAGGCUUUUAUAUAGAAAAAUGUAUACUUCUCUGCUAAGGUUAAGGAUUGUGAAAACAUAAAAUUACAAAUUUUGAUUAGUGGUGGAUUGUCUGACUUUUCUUCCCAAACUCACAACAUUAUAGGUUUAAUCUCUUUUACCCUUUGGAUUAGUUUACAAUUUCAUUUGUACUAAAAACUAAAUUUGAGUUUAACCAAGUUCGUUAAAUCAUUGUACUUCAUCUUUUUAAUUUAUAUUGUAUUCACGUUGGAAUUUCUCACUUAAUAGUUUAAGUGAGUUUCGUAUAAUUAUCUUCUUAUUUUCUUUAAGAACAAUACUUGACGGUUGAACAACUAGUAGUUUGAGUUAAAAAGACAAUGUGGCUGCUCUUUGGUUUGACAUCAAACUAAAUAAUACCUAAAAAUUAGGGUAAAAUACUGUUUACUACCCUCAUGUUUCGUGGUUUUCAACAUUUAGUACAUCAAGUUUUUUUCGUCUCAGAGUCAUACCUAAAGUGUAAUUUUGGGACAGUCUCAUACAUCCGUUAGUCAAACUGUUAAGUUUUUCGUUAACUAUGACGUAGCGCACUGACUGGGCGCCACGUGUCAUCCACGUUUUUUUUUUCCUUUUCUUUUCUUUUCUUCUUCCUUCUCCUUCUUCUUCUUCCUCCGACUGAAACUUUCUUUUUUUUCUUUUUUUUUUGCUUCUUCCUUCUCCUUCUUCCUUCAUUCUUCCUUCCCUUUCUUCCCAUUCUUCCUUCUCAUUCUCCUUCUUCUUCCUCCAAAAUCUUGGGAAGUUUUUUUUUUUUUUCUUCUUUCUUCUUCUUCCUCCUUCUUCUGGGGAAGUUUGUUUGUUUUUUUUUUUCUUUCUUUCUUCUUCUUCCUCCUUCUCCCUUCUUCUUCUUCUUCUUCCUCCGACUGCAAUUUUUUCUUCCUCCUUCUCCUUCUUCCUUCCCCUUCUUCUUCUUCCUCAAAAAAAAAAAAAAAAAAAAAAAACCUUUCAUCUUCCCCCAAAUUCGGAGGAAGAAGAACGAAGAAGGGGAAGGAAGAAGGAGAAGAAAGGGAAGGAAGAAGGAGGAAGGAGGAAGGAAGAAGGAGGAAGAAAAAAAAAAAACUGAAUCUGGGCAGAUUCGGAGGAAGAAGAAGAAGAAGAAGAAAAAAAAAAAGAAAAAAAAAAGAAAAAAAAUGAAAAAACUGAAUCUGGGUAGAUUCGGAGGAAGAAGAAGAAGAAGAAGAAGGAAGGAGGAAAGAGAAAGAAGAAGAAGAAGAAAAAGAAAAAAACAAAAAAAAAAAAAGCUUCCCCAGAUUCGGGAAGAAGAAGGAGAAUGAGAAGGAAGAAGAAGGAAGAAGGGGAAGAAAGGGAAGGAAGUAGGAAGGAGGAAGGAAGGAAGAAGGAGGAGGGAGAAGAAAAAAAAAGAAAAGAAUGUUGCAGUCGGAGGAAGAAGAAGAAAGAAGAAAAGAAAAGAAAGAAAAAAAAAAAAAACGUGGAUGACAUGUGGCGCCCAGUCAGUGCGCCACGUCACAGUUAACGAACUUAACAGUUUGACUAACGGAUGUAUGAGACUGUCCCAAAAUUUACACUUUAGGUAUGACUCUGAGACGAAAAAAACUUGAUGUACUAAAUGUUGAAAACCACGAAAAAUGAGGGUAGUAAACAGUCUUUUACCCUAAAAAAUAAGAAUGGGACAGGUGUCGAACUAAAAAACCGCUUUUAACAGGAAUGGCUGCUAAUUGUUCGCAAUCAAGCUUUUUUCUUUCUUUAUAAAAAAAAAAAGAAGAAUAAAAGCAAAGUAAAUAAGAAUAAGAAUAUCUUUAAACAGUAGUACUAAACGGCGAUAAAAGCAAAUAUUAAAUUUGUAUUGAGAUUUGAGAGAUAUUUUUUAGUGUGAUCGAUACAUAGGUGAUACACAACGUGUUAUUAUACAAGUGAUAAGAUAUAUGUGCUAAAAAGUUAAGAACUUAAAAAAUAAAAUUUACCACCACUUCUAUUAACAAGUAAAUGUGUUCACGUUACAAUUAAAAAUUUCUCAGAGAUUUGAGUAGGGUGACGCUGACACAUACAUGCUGAUGCAUCCAACGGAGCUCGUACGCGAACCUAUGCAAGAGAGAAUUCUAGACUCCCUCUCCCUCCCGGACUUGGAUUCUCUGCCCUCCCAAUUCGGUGCCCUUCCCGUGCCCUUCUGUUUGUGUGGCCACGGUUAAGUCACGUCAAUAUUUUAUAUUACUAUUUUUUUUUGUCUUAUUAUUUUUAUAAAAAACAAUAUAAAAUGUUAGCAUGGAUUACGUGACCACACAAAACAGGAGGGCACGAGGAGGGUAUCGAAAUGGGAGGGCAGAGAAUCCAAGUCCCUCCCUCCCACUAAAUUUAUGCAAUAUAAGUACACCCCACCAUGGAUUUCCCCCAACAUUACUCACUCUCGCAAAUCGCAAUUCACACAGCCUCCGGUGAAUUCGAAGUUCGAAAUCCCGACCUCGUCUAGGAACAUCCGAAAGAUCAAAAAUGUCGGACGGCGAUGUUAAAGCUGCCGAGCUGGUCGGCGCCGAACCCCACGACUUUGUCUCGCUUCUUUCGUCUUCCGAGAGGGACUUUCUUGUCCGUAACAAUGGUGAUCAGGUAAAAUUUCACCUCUUUUUUCUGAUCCUCUUCGAUUUUCUGGUGAAUUUCUUAGCGGUGCUUUGAAGUAGAUUCUGUCUGGGGUUCGUUAAUUUGGUACUUUGCAAGGUCUUAGACUGUGUUGGGUUGAAUUUUUAUUUCUGGGGUUUACUGAACUCAGCAUUUGUUUGUGCGAACUCAAGUUUUCGGGAAAGAUAGCAAACAGGCCCUAAGUUCCUCAACCCGUCCAACUAUUUGAUACAUAUUGUUUUAUUAAACAGUCUUUAAUUUGAUUAACUUUGAACAGGGAUGAUAUUUAAAUGAUAAUUAUGAAAAUAAACGGUUUAGAUUACGAUGGAGUCAGCAUGGGGUCAUUGGUUAACUCCAAAAACUCAUGUAUACUUGUCUGUAUAUUGUAUUUGACCCCAAUAAACAGUUACGGCAACCUAAAUUAUAAUCUCCUCCUCUACUACUAUUUUCUUCUAUCAUAUUUGUCUUCAUUUUCUUUCUUAUAUGAAAUACUUUAGUUGAAAAACCUUCCCAGCCUUCAGCAAUACUCCACAGUGUCUUGCAUCCACCCUCAACAAGCAUCUACAAAUAAUAGUAGUUGUCGACAUAUGUUGGAAUAAACUUUCGACAUGUGUUGACAGGAAUUGGCAGGUGUCUACUAGGUGCUCGACGAAAUGGCCCAAUGAAGUUUUUUGGUUGAUAUUAUGAUCCCGUUAUCUAAAAAUCCGGGCUAUGCGACUGGAUGUAACUACUGUCUUUGAAUUGUUAUUUUUUCGGUACCAUGUAUUAACUUGAAUAAUGAUUGGUUUAGAGAUACUAAUUUCAAAGGCUCACUGAACUAUCUGGAAUACAAAAUUUAGAGGUGUAGAGGGGUUAGUUUCGAUCGUUAUAUUGGUAAUGGGAUGAUAUAAUAGAGGAAUCAUAUCAUCAUAUGUCAAGUUUUGGAUUUGCAGAUUAAGGUUGAGAGCUUGAAGGGGAAAAAGCUUGGGCUGUAUUUUUCUGCAUCAUGGUGCGGUCCAUGCAAACGAUUCACCCCAGCUUUAGUUGAGGCCUACAAUGAACUCUCUCCAAAAGGUGAUUUUGAGAUUGUAUUUAUCUCCGCUGAUGAAGACGAUGAGUCAUUCGAAGGGUACUUCGCGAAGAUGCCAUGGCUUGCAUUUCCGUUCUCUGAUUCAGAGGCACGCGAUCGCGUGGACGAGUUGUUCAAAGUUAGAGGGAUACCCCAUCUUGUGAUCCUUGGCGAAGAUGGGAAAGUUUUGAGUGACAGUGGAGUUGAGAUUAUUCAGGAGUAUGGAGCUGAUGCGUACCCUUUUACGCUGGAAAAGUUGAAAGAGCUGAAAGAUGAAGAAGAAGCUGCCAGAAGGGAUCAGUCCUUGAAAACAAUCCUGGUCACCCGCUCGCGCGACUUUGUAAUUUCAAAUGAUGGAGAGAAGGUAAGUUUCAGUGCUGCUACUUCUUUAUGAAACUGACUUACUAGUAUCCUACUUUAUGAAUUCUGCAUGAAUUGUAACACGGCUGCACAAUCUGAAUUUUGUUAUUGAUGUGUGCAUAAAUCAAGGUGCCCGUCUCUGAACUAGAGGGGAAGAUAGUGGGUCUCUAUUUCUCGUUGUCUUUGUACGGUCCAUGCGUAGAAUUUACUCCAAAACUUGUGGAGGCUCAUGAUAAGCUAAAAGCAAAUGGAGAGAACUUCGAGAUUGUGUUGGUGCCACUUGAUGAUGAUGAAGAAUCAUUCAAGCAAUAUUUUGAGAAAAUGCCUUGGUUUUCUUUACCCAUCGGGGACAAAAGUGUACAGAAGUUGGCUCGGUACUUUGAGCUCUCAACCUUGCCCACAGUGGUUAUUAUUGGGGCAGAUGGUAAAACACUUGGUGAGAACGUUGCUGAUGCCAUUGACGAGCAUGGGAGUCUGGCUUACCCCUUCACACCAGAGAAGUUUG